CUGGAACGCGCCCUGGCGCACCCAGAAACCCUUUGUGAACUCAUACCUUACUGUUGCCUCGGCGCAGGCCGGCCUCUCAGCUGAGGCCCCCCGGAGACGGGGAGCAGCCCGCCGGCGGCCAGCCAAACUCUUGUUUCUACAGUGAAUCUCUGAGUAAGAAAACAUAAAUGAAUC
rnacentral:misc_RNA from 1 species